rnacentral:misc_RNA from 1 species
AACGCAUCUUGCGCUCCUUGGUAUUCCGAGGAGCAUGCCUGUUUGAGUGUCAUUAAAUUCUCAACCUUACCAGCAUUGCUGCUUGGUAUGGAUUGGAUGUGGGGGUUUUUGCAGGCUCUUAACGGAGUCAGCUCCCCUGAAAAGCAUUAGCGGUACCCUUGUGGUAAACGACUAUUGGUGUGAUAAUUAUCUACGCCAUUAGACGCCCACGAUAUAUAUAUAUGGGGGUUAUACUGCUUCAAAUGUUCCGUUGUCUCGGAAAAAAAUUUUACCAUGUUUUUGACCUCAAAUCAGGUAGGACUACCCGCUGAACUUAA